rnacentral:rRNA from 1 species
AGUGGAUGGGGAGCAACCUAGUUGUGCGUGUGUAAAGGUAGUGCCAAGAAAAGCGAUGAUCAUGUUGAAAAUCAAUUCCCGGUACCCGAAACCGACACAGGUGGGCAAGUGGAGAAUACUAAGGGGCGCGAGGUAACUCUCUCCAAGGAACUCGGCAAAAUGACCCCGUAACUUAGGGAGAAGGGGUGCCACCGAGAGGUGGUCGCAGUGAAGAGGCCCAGGCGACUGUUUAGCAAAAACAUAGGUCUCUGCAAACUCGAAAGAGGAGGUAUAGGGGCUGACGCCUGCCCAGUGCCGGAAGGUUAAAGAAGUUGGUCAGUCUUAGGAUGAAGCUAGCGACAGAAGCCCCGGUGAACGGCGGCCGUAACUAUAACGGUCCUAAGGUAGCGAAAUUCCUUGUCGGGUAAGUUCCGACCCGCACGAAAGGCGUAACGAUCUGGGCGCUGUCUCGGAGAGAGGCUCGGCGAAAUAGGAUUGUCUGUGAAGAUACGGACUACCUGCAUUUGGACAGAAAGACCCUAUGAAGCUUUACUAUAGCUUGGAAUUGUGUUCGGGCUUCCUGUGCGCAGGAUAGGUGGGAGGCGUAGAAGGUAUUCUUGUGGGGAUACUGGAGCCAACGGUGAGAUACCACUCUCAGGAGGCUAGAAUUCUAACUUAAUUAAGGACAGUUUCAGGUGGGUAGUUUGACUGGGGCGGUCGCCUCCAAAAAGGUAACGGAGGCGUACAAAGGUUCCCUCAGACUGGUUGGAAAUCAGUCGAAGAGUGCAAAGGCAGAAGGGAGCUUGACUGCGAGAAGUACAGUUCGAGCAGGGUGGAAACACGGUCUUAGUGAUCCGACGGUGCUGUGUGGAAGGGCCGUCGCUCAACGGAUAAAAGUUACUCUAGGAUAACAGUCUGAUCUCCCCCAAGAGUUCACAUCGACGGGGAGGUUUGGCACCUCGAUGUCGGCUCAUCGCAACCUGGGGCGGAAGUACGUCCCAAGGGUUGGGCUGUUCGCCCAUUAAAGCGGUACGUGAGCUGGGUUCAGAACGUCGUGAGACAGUUCGGUCCAUAUCCGAUGUAGGCGUGAGAAUAUUGAGAGGAGCCUUCCUUAGUACGAGAGGACCGGGAAGGACGCACCGCUGGUGUACCUGUUAUGAUGCCAAUUGUAAACGCAGGGUAGCCAAGUGCGGAGAGGAUAACCGCUGAAAGCAUCUAAGUGGGAAGCCCACCUCAAGAUGAGUAUUCUGGUGUAAGGUCACGGGAAGACGACCCGUAAAUAGGCACGAGGUGGAAGUGCAGAGAUGUAUGAAGCCGAAGUGUACUAAUAGACCGUCGGCUUGACC